ACCAACACCACAAACAUGGUCAAAAGGUCCAGUUAAGUGACAAUCAAAAUCAAUCAAAGCCACACCAAGAACAAAGUCCACUCCAUGUAGUGCUGUAAGAAGAGAAGAUUAACUAAAGAGACUCUACUGUAAUGUGGGACAUUUUUGGAUGUGGAGUUUUGGAGCCAGCCUCUGACAGACACUGGAGGAGCUGCAGUUUUUGGCAUUUACCAGGCCCCAGAGGCCCACAUAGAGGUCAAUCCACAGCACCUGGGCUCCAUUGCACGAGGAAAAUUCAGUGGCUUGCUCUAAAACCCAGAAGGCUAUAGACUCAAAGGGAUCCAUCGUGAAACUGCAGAGAAUUUUAUAUGUCAGAAACCAGCAGCACAGCUAUCCAAGACACAGAUUGGACAUUCUGUAUUUGAUUAGAAAUGAAGGAUAAUUUCCAGGUCAUCCAGAAUCAUUCUGGAAGAAAACUCUUUGUUUGUGUUUGUGAACAUUUGUUAAAUGUGCAGCACAUAAUCGGCACACAUUCAGGCUGAGUGGAUUCCUGCAGCCUCAAAUCCAGGCUUUGCUUUUUCUUUUUUUCUUUUUUUUUUUACAGCCGUCCCACCCUGCUGUCAGACUCUGGAGCAGGUAGCCUGCACUCCAUUAAACAAACACUGUGGCCCCUCACUUUUAUUUGACAUUUUAUUUGGCUGUGACAAACGAGCAGCAGUUGGAUUAUAACAUAAUUUGUCUCCUCUUUAUUACCGGCACAAAGGACACCAUUCAUUAAUUAUUCUGCCGUUGCCGCUCAACACUAACUGGAAAGGUCCCUCUUUGGACAGAUGGCGAGGACAAUGUUAUUUAUAUCAAUCAGUCCAAAAUGUUCAGCGAGGAUUACUAUUCCUUGGACCGCUUUGAUUUAUGUCUCUGCACCUCACCCCAUACCCAACCUCACCGGCUCCUGCAGGGACACUUUAAUCGAAUGGGAAUUGAAAACAGACUCGCGAGGCAGCAGGAAGAGGUACUUUUAACCUGCACAAACUCAGCGAGUCCGUCACUAGUACCUGCAUGGGGAUGAAUAGCAGCUGUAGAUCAGGGCCAGCGCUGGGCUGAGAGAGGUAAACAACAACAAGGCUGCAGGACGGGAAGACCAUCGCCGAACGCUGGCAAGACGUGGGCAAAAAUUCAGCCUGACAGAAGACAUGAGCUCUAGGUAAAAACCACCCAUUUUCCUCCCCUCCUCCCCCCGCGCCGCCUCCCCGAAUCGACAUUCUUCCAAACAUUUGCCCAUUGACUAGAAAAAUCUCCCCGGGCCCCUGAUGGUCCCUGGCUCGGUGUGAGGAUGCCCAGGCGCUACAGCAACGCUCAUAAAAACUCAAUUCAUCAAGACGAGUGUAAUUUGCUCCGAACGGAAAGCGCCACAAAAGGGGGCGAGCUUGUCAGCGAGACAGGUGGCUGGAGAUCUCGCUCUGAUACUGAGCGAUAUGAAUAAUAGAUUCUGCUAAAUGUACGCCAGGACCCGGGCUGUAAACACAGCUGCCUCCUUUCCCUUCCAAAAGAACAGCUUGGCUGGAUGAGAAGCCCGAGCGCUCUGCCUCCACCUGAGGACUGGGAGGUGGUGGUGGGGAGAAAGGGGGGCGAUUAACUAAUCAAAUGCAUGGGCUAAAUAGGAGGCAAGGAGAGAAAAGAGGAGACAGACAAAGGGAGGAGGUCGGGGGGGAGAGAGGUGUAAGUCAGAAGGUUUGGCCUUGCCGGUUUUGUUCGAGCACCGAGGAGCACAAAGGAUGCUGAUUAGUGGGAAAUUGAUGUCAAUCUAAACAUUUAAAGUAUGAACUCUGUGUGAGUGAACAAUGGACUGUUUUACUUUAAAAACUAGACUUUUAAUAUGAGCUGUCAGACCCCUGCAGUGUCCCGUGUUAUGUCAGCUUUGGAGCUUUCUUGAUUAAUCCCAAACUUCUCCCACACAGAGAUCCACAAACUGUCGAGUAAACAUCUACUAUUAAGUCAUAAAGUCAGAUAAUGAGCAGGAAUCCUCCUCCACAUUCAGUAGGUGUGCGUACCUUACAGAAGCAGCAGAAACUAGUGGGUCAUUAGUGCCAUUCACUGAGGAAAAUACAAAAAUAAAACAGGUGGGAGAGGCUGUAACAUCCAGAGAAUAAGAGAAAUUGUCAAGAUUAAAAUGAUAAAUUGAAGAAGAGAAAACUCAAAUGUGUGAGGACAAACUUGAAUAUUUUGCAAAAUUAUAACAAAAUAUUUCCAGAAAAAAAGGAAGAAAAACACAUUUUACAAUUUGUUUUAAUCACAUUUGAGUGAAAAUAAGACAGCAGCUUCCUUGCAACGAGGAAAAAUUGACAGUUGCCCGAGGAUUGUGUUAAAUUUCUUUACAUUUGACAACUGAUUACAAAAAUGUCAAAGAGAUGACUCAAUUCAGUUUAGUUUUAUUAAUAUAGCACAAAAUCGCAACAAUAGUCAACUCAAGGUGUUCUAUAAUGUAAGGUAGAGAGAAAACAGUGGUGAGGGAAAAACCCCUUUUAACAGGAAGAACCAGCCACAGAGAUGGUCCCAGGAUUGGUUGUUUGGGGGGAAUAAAAGGCAGACUGUGGAAAAGAGAGGGCCAGACCAGCGAAACUCCUCUUUCUGUUCGUGUAAAGAGGUUUAACUACAUACUUGAUCCGUGAAAAAAUAUAAUAUAAGGAGGAGAAAAAAGUGCAAUUUCAGUAAUACAUGUCAGUUUUUUCUGCGUGCUGCUUUGGGCUUAAUUGUAAGAAAAAAAUGAAAAAUUACAGAGAAACUUCUGUUAUUGUAAUUAUAAAAUGUAUUUUUUAUUAACUGACAAAAAGCCUUUUUCUUGAAUACUGUAAAAAUCAUAUAUUUAUACAUUACAUGGUGAAAAAAUUGGAACUUUCUGUUAUUUAAUUGUUUGUCUGUGCUGAUUCUGGACCCAGGGCCUUAUGUUUGACACCUGUGGUCUAGCCCCAUGCACAGCAUGAUUAAUCAUGUUUUUAUACACCUACAGCACAUUUACACAUUAACUUUAACUGUUUGUGGAAAUCACUUCAGUGUAGAAAGACUAAAACAGACAGCUGACAGUAUUUAAAUGUAAACUUUAUAUCUAAAUGGCCAGGCCCUGCAAUAU
ensembl:lncRNA